GUGACAACCACUGCUCCAAUACGGAGUCCUCCACUGUGCUCAUCGGCGAUGUGAAAUGUUUCUCUAUCUUCGUAUCACUUCUCCUCAGGAAGAAACUGCAUUGACAGACAAGGAAAAAUAAGCAACAAAUAUAUUCUACACCGGUUAAAAUAUAAUAUUAAGAACAAAAGACUUGUGACUUUUACCAAGGACGUGAAGGUGUUGCCGAAUUGAAGUACAUUUAUUGAUUAGCAGCAGCAAAUUAUUACUUUUGUGAGUUUGAAUUAAUAAAGUGAAACCAGUACACAAAAAUGAA